AUUGAACGCUGGCGGCAUGCUUUACACAUGCAAGUCGAACGGUAACAGGCCGCAAGGUGCUGACGAGUGGCGAACGGGUGAGUAAUGCAUCGGAACGUGCCCAGUCGUGGGGGAUAACGCAGCGAAAGCUGCGCUAAUACCGCAUACGAUCUAUGGAUGAAAGCGGGGGACCGUAAGGCCUCGCGCGAUUGGAGCGGCCGAUGUCAGAUUAGGUAGUUGGGGGGGUAAAGGCUCACCAAGCCAACGAUCUGUAGCUGGUCUGAGAGGACGACCAGCAACACGGGGACGGAGACACGGCCCAGACUCCUACGGGAGGCAGCAGUGGGGAAUUUUGGACAAUGGGCGCAAGCCUGAUCCAGCAAUGCCGCGUGCAGGAAGAAGGCCUUCGGGUUGUAAACUGCUUUUGUACGGAACGAAACGGUCUGGGUUAAUACCCUGGGCUAAUGACGGUACCGUAAGAAUAAGCACCGGCUAACUACGUGCCAGCAGCCGCCGUAACAC
rnacentral:rRNA from 1 species